GAUCAGAAUGACUUUUCAUUGUCAGUUUAUUUUGAAAGUGAACUCUUAAUAACUGCAGUAAUGAAGUGUACAAUCCCCUGAGGCAUUUUCCGUGGUAAAAGAACCUACUGAUUGAAAAUGAAAGAGCAAAGAUUAAAACAAAACAUUUUGAAUUUUGCAAAUUUUCAUACAUUUUCUAAUGGGACACAUAUAUAGAAUAAAUAAAAAAAUCAGGGUAAGGAUGUAGGUUAAAAAAUAUCUAUUUAUUAUAUACCUGGCAUUUGAGGGUUUUUUUUUCAAGACAACAAUGCCAGACUACUGAUAUAUACAUGUAAAGCAAAAUAUUUGUUUUUCGGUGGAAC
rnacentral:lncRNA from 1 species